rnacentral:rRNA from 1 species
CCUACGGGAGGCAGCAGUGGGGAAUAUUGCACAAUGGGCGAAAGCCUGAUGCAGCGGCGCCGCGUGAGGGACGACGGCCUUCGGGUUGUAAACCUCUUUCAGCAGGGACGAAGCGCAAGUGACGGUACCUGCAGAAGAAGCACCGGCUAACUACGUGCCAGCAGCCGCGGUAAUACGUAGGGUGCAAGCGUUGUCCGGAAUUACUGGGCGUAAAGAGUUCGUAGGCGGUUUGUCACGUCGUUUGUGAAAACUCACAGCUCAACUGUGAGCCUGCAGGCGAUACGGGCAGACUUGAGUACUGCAGGGGAGACUGGAAUUCCUGGUGUAGCGGUGAAAUGCGCAGAUAUCAGGAGGAACACCGGUGGCGAAGGCGGGUCUCUGGGCAGUAACUGACGCUGAGGAACGAAAGCGUGGGUAGCAAACAGGAUUAGAUACCCUGGUAGUCCACGCCGUAAACGGUGGGCGCUAGGUGUGGGUUCCUUCCACGGAAUCCGUGCCGUAGCUAACGCAUUAAGCGCCCGCCUGGGGAGUACGGCCGCAAGGCUAAAACNCAAAUGAAUUGACGGCUUGAGACGNGCGAGCGACACGAGGAGAG